rnacentral:miRNA from 1 species
ACGAGGCAGGGGCUUUGACUGUG